CAGCCGCCACGGGAAUACGUAGGUGGCAAGCGUUGUCCGGAAUUAUUGGGCGUAAAGGGCUCGCAGGCGGUUUCUUAAGUCUGAUGUGAAAGCCCCCGGCUCAACCGGGGAGGGUCAUUGGAAACUGGGAAACUUGAGUGCAGAAGAGGAGAGUGGAAUUCCACGUGUAGCGGUGAAAUGCGUAGAGAUGUGGAGGAACACUAGUGGCGAAGGCGACUCUCUGGUCUGUAACUGACGCUGAGGAGCGAAAGCGUGGGGAGCGAACAGGAUUAGAUACCCCCGUAGUCCCUGUCUCUUAUAC
rnacentral:rRNA from 1 species